ACGUAAUCGACAAUAAUAAAGAAAAUAACGAGACAUAUGAAAAUGCAUUUUUUUUCUUCCUUCCAUUUUUCUCAUUAUUUCUUUCUUUACU
rnacentral:ribozyme from 14 species